rnacentral:rRNA from 1 species
CCUACGGGAGGUAGCAGUGAGGAAUAUUGGUCAAUGGACGAGAGUCUGAACCAGCCAAGUAGCGUGAAGGAUGACUGCCCUAUGGGUUGUAAACUUCUUUUAUAUGGGAAUAAAAUGUUCCACGUGUGGGAUUUUGUAUGUACCAUAUGAAUAGGGAUCGGCUAACUCCGUGCCAGCAGCCGCGGUAAUACGGAGGAUCCGAGCGUUAUCCGGAUUUAUUGGGUUUAAAGGGCGCGUAGGUGGAUUGUUAAGUCAGUUGUGAAAGGUUGGGGCUCAACCGUAAAAUUGAAGUUGAAACUGGCAGUCUUGAGUACAGUAGAGGUGGGCGGAAUUCGUGGUGUAGCGGUGAAAUGCUUAGAUAUCACGAAGAACUCUGAUGGCGAAGGCAGCUCACUGGACUGCAACUGACACUGAGGCUCGAAAGUGUGGGUAGCAAAAGGGAUUAGAUACCCCGGUAGUC